GCUGAUCCUGCCGGAGAUCACCGCUAUUCGGAUUUGGCUAAGCCAUGCAAGUUCUGGGUUAAACCAGAGCGAAAAGCUCAGUAACACGUAGUUAAUCUGCCCUUAGAUCUGAUAUAAUCUCGGGAAACUGAGGAUAACGUCAGAUAGGCAAAAAUUCCUGGAAUGGUCUUUUGUUGAACUAAGGAUGGGACUGCGGCUCAUUAGGUUGUUGUUAGGGUAAUGUCCUGGCAAGCCGAUAAUGGGUACGGGCCUUGAGAGAGGAAACCCGGAGAUGGAUUCUGAGACAAUAAUCCAGGUCCUACGGGAUGCAGCAGGCGCGAAACCUCCACAAUGCACGCAAGUGUGAUGGAGAGAUCCGAAGUGUUUUCCCUUACGGGGAAACUUUUGUUUAGUCUAAAUAGCUAGGCGAAUAAGCGAUGGGUAAGACAGGUGCCAGCCGCCGCGGUAAUACCUGCGUCGCAAGUGGUGAUCACGUUUAUUGGGCUUAAAGCAUUCGUAGCCGGUUUUGUAAGUCCUUGGUGAAAUCGUCUAGUAGACUAGGCGGCUUGCUGGGGAUACUGCAAGGCUCGGGACCGGGAGGUCGAGGGUAUUCCAGGGGUAAGGGUAAAAUCUUAUAAUCCUUGGAGGACCACCUGUGGCGAAGGCGCUCGACUGGAACGGAUCCAACGGUGAGGGAUGAAAGCUAGGGGAGCGAACCGGAUUAGAUACCCGGGUAGUCCUAGCCGUAAACGAUACCCACUAGACAUUGGAGAUCUUACGUGGGUUUCCAGUGUCGUAGGGAAACCAUUAAGGGGGUCGCCUGGGGAGUACGGUCGCAAGGCUGAAACUUAAGGGAAUUGGCGGGGGAGCACACAAGGGGUGGAGGCUGCGGUUCAAUUCGAUUCAACGCGGGGAACCUUACCAGAGGCGACAGCAGGAUGAAGGUCAGGUUGAAGGUUUUACCAGACAAGCUGAGAAGUAGUGCAUGGCCGUCGUCAGUUCGUGCCGUGAGGUGUCCUGUUAAGUCAGGUAACGAACAAGACCCAUACCUCAUGUUGCUAACCAAUUUAUUUGGUGCACUCAUGAGGGACUGCUGGCGAUAAGCCAGAGGAAGGCGUGGUCGACGGCAGGUCCGUAUGCCCUGAAUCCUCUGGGCAACACGCGGCCUACAAUGGACGAGACAAUGGGACGCGACUCCGAGAGGAGGAGCCAAUCCUUAAACUCGUUCCCAGUUCGGAUCGAGGGUUGCAACUCACCCUCGUGAAGCCGAAAUCCCUAGUAGUCGCUGGUUAGCAUCUAGCGGCGAAUACGUUCCUGCUUCUUGCACACACUGCCCGUCAAGCCAUCCGAGUGAAGUUUUGAUGAGGUUUCCUCUUCGGAGGAUGUCGAAUCAGGGCUUCGCAAGGAGGGCUAAGUCGUAACAAGGUA
rnacentral:rRNA from 1 species